GACGAACGCUGGCGGCGUGCUUAACACAUGCAAGUCGAACGGAAAGGCCGGGCGUUUGCGCGCUCCGGGACUGGCGAGCAGGGGAGUAUCACGUGAGUAACCUGCCCUUCACUUUGGGGGAUCUUCAUGAAACAGGAGCUCUUACCGCAUAGGAGCUCCUGCUGCAUGGUGGGCCUGGGUAAGAUUCGCCGGUUGGGGAUGGAAUCGCGGGUUAUCAGCUCGUUGGUGGGGUAGUGGGUUACCAAGGCUUGGAGGGGUAGCCGGCCUGAGAGGGUGACCGGCCACACUGGGACUGGGAUACGGCACAGACUCGUACGGGAGGCAGCGGUGGGGAAUAGUGCACAGUGGGCGGAAGCCUGAUGUAGCACCGCCGCGUGGGGGAUGACGGCCUUCGGGUUGUAAACCACUUUUGUCUGAGACGAAGCGAUAGUGACGGUACCGGGAGAAGAAGCACCGGCUAACUACGUG
rnacentral:rRNA from 1 species